rnacentral:rRNA from 1 species
GGUGAGUAACACGUGGGUAACCUGCCUGUAAGACUGGGAUAACUCCGGGAAACCGGAGCUAACACCGGAUAGUUCCUUGAACCGCAUGGUUCAAGGAUGAAAGACGGUUUCGGCUGUCACUUACAGAUGGACCCGCGGCGCAUUAGCUAGUUGGUGAGGUAACGGCUCACCAAGGCGACGAUGCGUAGCCGACCUGAGAGGGUGAUCGGCCACACUGGGACUGAGACACGGCCCAGACUCCUACGGGAGGCAGCAGUAGGGAAUCUUCCGCAAUGGACGAAAGUCUGACGGAGCAACGCCGCGUGAGUGAUGAAGGUUUUCGGAUCGUAAAGCUCUGUUGUUAGGGAAGAACAAGUGCAAGAGUAACUGCUUGCGCCUUGACGGUACCUAACCAGAAAGCCACGGCUAACUACGUGCCAGCAGCCGCGGUAAUACGUAGGUGGCAAGCGUUGUCCGGAAUUAUUGGGCGUAAAGGGCUCGCAGGCGGUUUCUUAAGUCUGAUGUGAAAGCCCCCGGCUCAACCGGGGAGGGUCAUUGGAAACUGGGAAACUUGAGUGCAGAAGAGGAGAGUGGAAUUCCACGUGUAGCGGUGAAAUGCGUAGAGAUGUGGAGGAACACCAGUGGCGAAGGCGACUCUCUGGUCUGUAACUGACGCUGAGGAGCGAAAGCGUGGGGAGCGAA